GGCUCCAUAGUAUAGUGGUUAGUACGUCUGCUCUACAAGCAGAAGGUCCUGGGCUCACAUACCCCGGGUGGGCCA
rnacentral:tRNA from 1 species